rnacentral:rRNA from 1 species
GAUGAACGCUAGCGGGAGGCCUAACACAUGCAAGCCGAGCGGUAGAGAUCUUUCGGGAUCUUGAGAGCGGCGUACGGGUGCGGAGCACGUGUGCAACCUGCCUUUAUCAGGGAGAUAGCCUUUCGAAAGGAAGAUUAAUAUCCCAUAAUAUAUUGAAUGGCAUCAUUUAAUAUUGAAAGCUCCGGCGGAUAGAGAUGGGCACGCGCAAGAUUAGAUAGUUGGUGAGGUAACGGCUCACCAAGUCAGUGAUCUUUAGGGGGCCUGAGAGGGUGAUCCCCCACACUGGUACUGAGACACGGACCAGACUCCUACGGGAGGCAGCAGUGAGGAAUAUUGGACAAUGGGUGAGAGCCUGAUCCAGCCAUCCCGCGUGAAGGACGACGGUUCUAUGGAUUGUAAACUUCUUUUAUACUGGGAUAAACCUACCCUCGUGAGGGUAGCUGAAGGUACAGUAUGAAUAAGCACCGGCUAACUCCGUGCCAGCAGCCGCGGUAAUACGGAGGGUGCAAGCGUUAUCCGGAUUUAUUGGGUUUAAAGGGUCCGUAGGCGGAUCUGUAAGUCAGUGGUGAAAUCUCACAGCUUAACUGUGAAACUGCCAUUGAUACUGCAGGUCUUGAGUAAAGUAGAAGUGGCUGGAAUAAGUAGUGUAGCGGUGAAAUGCAUAGAUAUUACUUAGAACACCAAUUGCGAAGGCAGGUCACUAUGUUUUAACUGACGCUGAUGGACGAAAGCGUGGGGAGCGAACAGGAUUAGAUACCCUGGUAGUCCACGCCGUAAACGAUGCUAACUCGUUUUUGGGUUUUCGGAUUCAGAGACUAAGCGAAAGUGAUAAGUUAGCCACCUGGGGAGUACGUUCGCAAGAAUGAAACUCAAAGGAAUUGACGGGGGCCCGCACAAGCGGUGGAUUAUGUGGUUUAAUUCGAUGAUACGCGAGGAACCUUACCAAGGCUUAAAUGGGAAUUGACAGGUUUGGAAACAGACUUUUCUUCGGACAAUUUUCAAGGUGCUGCAUGGUUGUCGUCAGCUCGUGCCGUGAGGUGUUAGGUUAAGUCCUGCAACGAGCGCAACCCCUGUCACUAGUUGCCAUCAUUCAGUUGGGGACUCUAGUGAGACUGCCUACGCAAGUAGAGAGGAAGGUGGGGAUGACGUCAAAUCAUCACGGCCCUUACGCCUUGGGCCACACACGUAAUACAAUGGCCGGUACAGAGGGCAGCUACUAUGCGAAUAGAUGCGAAUCUCGAAAGCCGGUCUCAGUUCGGAUUGGAGUCUGCAACUCGACUCUAUGAAGCUGGAAUCGCUAGUAAUCGCGCAUCAGCCAUGGCGCGGUGAAUACGUUCCCGGGCCU